AUUUAGGCAUGACAUUAGCUGUUGAACCAAGAAUUUACGAUGAGACGAUGUGCUGAUGUAGGACAGACGUACAGCAGAUACAGGUUGUCCAUAUAUUAAAAGGGAUUUUUCAUGGUGAAGGUACAAAGCUGCAAAAAUGAUGACUGUGCAUCGAUCAAUACCCACUCAAUAAUAUGAAAACACGAUGAAAACAAACAAACCAGCAGCAGAAAAGAAAUUUGAGUAUAAGAUUAUUGAAAGAUUAAUCAAUGAACAUGAUGAAGACUUAAUGGAACAGGAUUGGAAUGCAGAAACUUUGGACUUAAUUCAUGAAUAACAUCAAUGGAUGAUGAAGAAAACUGAACAAACUGACAAAGUAUUUCGUAUGCAUGUAAACUGGACAUUUUUGUUUGUUUAAUGCAAAAUAAACAAAUUUGUAAAAUUGAAAAUUAAAACCAUUUGUGAAAGAUUUCAAGAGGACCAGAAGUUACCAUGGACUUAUGAAUGAUUUAACCAGAAAAAUGAUUUACAUGUACAAUUAAGUAAAUACAUGUACAUCUUUGACUAAAAAAUGAUAAUUUAUCAACAUUAAUAUUUUAAAGAGGUUGAUCUUUUCGUUUAAAAGGUCUUAAAUGUGGAUAAUGUAUAAACUGUUGUAAUUUCUUUGAUUGUUGACUUGCAUUAAAAUGGUUAUUGUCUUAUUUCAAGUUUUCUUAUUAAUUCAUUCAAAAAUAAGCAGAGCAUGCAAAAUGAUAUUUACAUUUCAGUGGAAAUGUCAAUUUCCAUUGAAAUAUCACUGGUUUUCUUUGGUUGAUUGUUACAAUUUCUAAUGGAAUUACCACUGGUAUCCCAGUUGAAAACAAUAAAUGUCCAGUGGGAAAACAAUGGUAUUCCAACGAAGUUUUCACUGGUAUUCCAAUGGAAUUUCCACUGUAUUCCACUCGAGUAUUCACCGGAAUCCCACUGGAUAUUCCACUGAUAUCCCAAUGGAAAACAAUGAAUGUCCAA